AUCAUAAGCUUUACAGGCUCUUACUGAUCUUAUUUUGUAAGCGGGUUCACUCGUUGACAAUAAUCAUAAUUGUUCUUCUUCUUUCAGAAGCUUUCUCAGACCAUUCAAGGUGCUCGCCGCUUCCGGAACUUCCCGCCAGCUGUCCCUAUUGUCGUUCGCUUCUUGCUCUAUCCCUUGUGCCACCUUUUGCAGCAGAUUACAGGUGCGCUCUCAACGAGUCAAUUCACCUUUGCCAGAGGCGGCCUCCGGGUCUUCUCCCGUUGACUUCUCCUACCAGCGC